GUUGAAAAUCUGGUUCCCGUACGAGCACCGAAGUUAAGCAACGUCGAGACUGAUCAGUACCUACAUGGGUGACCGCUUCGGAAUACCAGGUGCUAUA